GCAGCAGGUUGUUCCAUCGCCCCGCAUGCUGGCGGGGAGGAAAGUCCGGGCAACAAAGAGCACCAUGCUUCCUAACGGGAAGAUAUCUGUGAGGAUAUAGUAGUGUAACAGAAAAUAACCGUCCGCCACCAGGCGGGAAGGGUGAAAAGGUGAGGUAAGAGCUCACCGGUUCUGUUGGUGACAACAGGAGCCGUACACCUCAUGGGUUGAAAGACCAUGUAUACCGGCGUCAGAGGACUGCUCGUUCAAUGCCGGGGGGUAGGUCGUAGGAUCCUGUCAGCAAUGAUGGGACAAGAUAAAUGAUGGAAAACGGUUCUAUAUCCUUUCGCAGGAGACUGAACCGUACAGAACCCGGCUUACAGACCGGCUGCAUAA
rnacentral:RNase_P_RNA from 1 species